CACUGUCUCGGCGUCCUGCAGGGCUGGGAGAGGGGCUGACUCGGCGCCACCCUCCGGAGUAAGGCCACAUUCCCCGGGGCUGGACUGACCCCCAAACAAGGCUGCCCAACUCAGACCACCUGAGGAACAGAAAACAUGAGAGCUUACCGAGAGUCUUGAACAUGAGGGAGAGGAAGAGGCACAGCACAAUGGGCGCCACGUACUGCAGCGUCACAACACACAGGUCCUUGUUGGAGAUACGACCUGACUCUUUCUUCUGUGCCUCUAUUUUCUCGUACGCCAGGUUGAGGUAGGACUGUAGGUAGUAAGGCAUAAGCCCUAGCCUCACUGCACUCACUGCCAGCACCAUCACGAUCCUCAGGGUGUCAAAGGUGUCGGGUCCCAUGCUGUUGUGUGGGGGUAAGGUCAGGAUUAUGAGGGAGAGGAGUUGGUGUGAAAAAUUUACAAAGACUUUUAUGUAAUGUUUUUUUUUUAUAAGUUUUCUUUAGUGUUUGUUUCUUUUGACUAUCUUAAUGUUAUAAAUUUUUUAUGUGUUUUCUUUUUUAUGGGUUUCUUUGUUAAACGUAUGAGGGAAAGGAAGUUAAGGAGAUUUUUAUACUUUUCUUAUAAUUUUUUUUCAGGUGUUAGUUUCUGCUGGUUAUCUUUGUUAGCCUCUGUAUCGUUACCUUUCCUAUGGCUCUUCUUACAAGGGAAGUGAAGUUAUCACUGAAGUUUGCAAGAUUUUAAGACAAUAGCCUUUUCUUUACAACUCUUCUUUACACAUUAGUUUCUUGUAUCUUUGUUAACCUGUCAUUAGCUUUUAUAUAACUUUCUUUGUUAAUUUUUUUGGAGGUGAGUUGUAUAGCUUUCCUGUUAUUCUAGGGAAAGAGACAAAUAUAUUAAGAUAACAACUGUAAAAAGACUUAAUAAAUAAUAAUGAUAGUAA